rnacentral:misc_RNA from 1 species
AAGUCGUAACAAGGUCUCCGUUGGUGAACCAGCGGAGGGAUCAUUACGAAAUUAUAGGGCCUCACGGCCUCUAUAAAACCCUAUGUGAACCUUACCUACUAGUUGCCUCGGCAGGUUGCUUCAGGGCGGAGCUGCUUGCCUUCUCUCCGGGGAAGGUGCCUGCCGGAGGACACCUAAACUCUUCUAUAUUUUAGCGACCUUCUGAGCCUUAUAACAAUAAGUUAAAAACUUUCAGCAACGGAUCUCUUGGUUCUG